rnacentral:rRNA from 1 species
CAGUGGGAAACCUGCCCAGAAGCGGGGGAUAACACCUGGAAACAGAUGCUAAUACCGCAUAACAACUUGGACCGCAUGGUCCGAGUUUGAAAGAUGGCUUCGGCUAUCACUUUUGGAUGGUCCCGCGGCGUAUUAGCUAGAUGGUGGGGUAACGGCUCACCAUGGCAAUGAUACGUAGCCGACCUGAGAGGGUAAUCGGCCACAUUGGGACUGAGACACGGCCCAAACUCCUACGGGAGGCAGCAGUAGGGAAUCUUCCACAAUGGACGAAAGUCUGAUGGAGCAACGCCGCGUGAGUGAAGAAGGGUUUCGGCUCGUAAAACUCUGUUGUUAAAGAAGAACAUAUCUGAGAGUAACUGUUCAGGUAUUGACGGUAUUUAACCAGAAAGCCACGGCUAACUACGUGCCAGCAGCCGCGGUAAUACGUAGGUGGCAAGCGUUGUCCGGAUUUAUUGGGCGUAAAGCGAGCGCAGGCGGUUUUUUAAGUCUGAUGUGAAAGCCUUCGGCUCAACCGAAGAAGUGCAUCGGAAACUGGGAAACUUGAGUGCAGAAGAGGACAGUGGAACUCCAUGUGUAGCGGUGAAAUGCGUAGAUAUAUGGAAGAACACCAGUGGCGAAGGCGGCUGUCUGGUCUGUAACUGACGCUGAGGCUCGAAAGUAUGGGUAGCAAACAGGAUUAGAUACCCUGGUAGUCCAUACCGUAACGAUGAAUGCUAAGUGUUGGAGGGUUUCCGCCCUUCAGUGCUGCAGCUAACGCAUUAAGCAUUC